rnacentral:rRNA from 1 species
AUGCUCCACAUGGACCAGAACGCCCCUGCCGCUUUCUUCAUUGGACCGGAUGGGGUUGAGAUCGAUCACCUCAACCCGGCAACCAACAUGAGGACGGCCCGUGCAGUACUCCCCGAUGGGCAGGUGCUCAACAUCCGCGACCCGGAGCUCUGGGCUGUUUUUGACCAGUUCUUUGAUCCAGCCAUUCAUGACAACAUUUUUGCGCGCAGCAGGACCCACAUCCACCCUGCCCUUCGUAAUUAUGAUGUCAUUGCCUACCCUGCUGGGAUGGUCCCGCGGGUCGCUUCCUUUGUUGAUCCCAAAGGUAAUCGUCUCGCGCACGAUUCCCAUCCCCAGUCAGAUUCCAGGUUGCACCUACCAGAUGGGAGGUUUGUUCACGUCUGUGAUCCAUACAUAUGGGUCAUCUUUGAUGAGCACCUAAGCCCGAAUCUGCGUUCAAUCAUUCAGGGGUUUCAGCAUGUCCAAUACCGUGGCCCCCCUAUCUCGCUCAACAGUGCACGAGCCCAUGCCCCCGUCGCAUAUCCAAAGCAUGAAAAUACAAACACUUGGAUUGAUGUUCGUCCACGCCGCCGCGGCCGGGCUGCUAAUGUGGUGGGCAAUGGUUUGGGACAGGCUGGCGGGGCUGCUUAG